rnacentral:rRNA from 1 species
UGCAAGUCGAACGGUAACAGCACUUCGGUGGCUGACGAGUGGCGGACGGGUGAGUAAUACAUCGGAACGUGCCCGAUCGUGGGGGAUAACUACUCGAAAGAGUGGCUAAUACCGCAUACGAUCUACGGAUGAAAGCGGGGGAUCGCAAGACCUCGCGCGGACGGAGCGGCCGAUGGCAGAUUAGGUAGUUGGUGGGAUAAAAGCUUACCAAGCCGACGAUCUGUAGCUGGUCUGAGAGGACGACCAGCCACACUGGGACUGAGACACGGCCCAGACUCCUACGGGAGGCAGCAGUGGGGAAUUUUGGACAAUGGGCGCAAGCCUGAUCCAGCCAUGCCGCGUGUGGGAAGAAGGCCUUCGGGUUGUAAACCACUUUUGUCAGGGAAGAAACGGUCUGAUCUAAUAAAUCGGACUAAUGACGGUACCUGAAGAAUAAGCACCGGCUAACUACGUGCCAGCAGCCGCGGUAAUACGUAGGGUGCAAGCGUUAAUCGGAAUUACUGGGCGUAAAGCGUGCGCAGGCGGCUAUGCAAGACAGAUGUGAAAUCCCCGGGCUCAACCUGGGAACUGCAUUUGUGACUGCAUGGCUAGAGUACGGCAGAGGGGGAUGGAAUUCCGCGUGUAGCAGUGAAAUGCGUAGAUAUGCGGAGGAACACCGAUGGCGA